GGAGCUUGCUCUUUCAUUUAGUGGCGCACGGGUGAGUAACGCGUAGAUAAUCUGCCUUGGACUCUGGGAUAACAUCUCGAAAGGGGUGCUAAUACCGGAUAAGCCCACGAUGGCGUAAGUCAUUGCGGGAAAAGGGGGCCUCUGAAUAUGCUCCUGAUUCAAGAUGAGUCUGCGUACCAUUAGCUAGUUGGUAGGGUAAGAGCCUACCAAGGCGACGAUGGUUAGCUGGUCUGAGAGGAUGAUCAGCCACACUGGAACUGAGACACGGUCCAGACUCCUACGGGAGGCAGCAGUGGGGAAUUUUGCGCAAUGGGGGAAACCCUGACGCAGCAACGCCGCGUGAGUGAUGAAGGCUUUCGGGUCGUAAAGCUCUGUCUAGAGGGAAGAAAUGAUAGUCGGUUAAUACCCGGUUUUCUUGACGGUACCUCUGAAGGAAGCACCGGCUAACUCCGUGCCAGCAGCCGCGGUAAUACGGAGGGUGCAAGCGUUGUUCGGAUUUAUUGGGCGUAAAGCGCGUGUAGGCGGUUUGUUAAGUCUGAUGUGAAAGCCCUGGGCUCAACCUGGGAAUGGCGUUUUGAACUGGCAGUCUAGAGUGCGUCAGAGGGGGGUGGAAUUCCACGUGUAGCAGUGAAAUGC
rnacentral:rRNA from 1 species